AAUCAGCCCAUCUGCGUGGUACAAGGCAGAGGCUCACGGUUCAACGCGACUCCGCCAACUUCUAACGUUUUUCACUGGAAUCAGUUAAACUGGGUUCUCAAUAAGCCUUAAAGCUGCUGUUGCUUCAUGCUCCGGCAAUCCAUAAUUGCAAUUUCUGAUUCCUUCUGUGCCAAAUAUUUGAACUGUAGAAUCAGUUUGUUCGCCUACGAAUCUUUUGUGAAAGGAGUGAAAGCUAAGCAAAGAUAAGUGAAAAUGGGGGUUGAUGAUGUACCUCUGGAUGACAAGGCGAAGAGAAUGAGAGAUCUGCUAUCAAGCUUUUACUCUCCGGAUCCUGCAAUGUCAUCCAGCAAUUCUUCGAAAUUCGCUUCCUUAGAUGCCAUCAACACCACAUCCUUCGACGCUGAUCAGUACAUGAAUCUCUUGGUGCAAAAAUCAAACUUGGAAGGGCUUCUGCAGAAGCAUGUUGAAAUGGCAGCCGAGAUAAAGAAUCUUGACACUGAUUUGCAAAUGUUAGUGUAUGAAAAUUACAACAAGUUCAUCAGCGCUACUGACACGAUCAAGAGGAUGAACAAUAAUAUUGUGGGCAUGGAAGCAAAUAUGGAGCAGCUCCUUGAGAAAAUAAUGUCUGUGCAAUCAAGAAGUGAUGGUGUAAACACAUCUCUUUUUGAAAAGAGGGAACAUAUAGAGAAAUUGCAUCGCACACGUAACCUUCUUCGUAAAGUUCAGUUCAUAUACGAUCUACCUGCUAGACUUGGGAAGUGUAUUAAAUCGGAAGCAUAUGCUGAUGCAGUCAGGUUCUAUACUGGAGCAAUGCCAAUUUUCAAGGCAUAUGGAGAUUCAUCAUUCCAGGACUGUAAGCGAGCAUCUGAAGAAGCUAUGGGCACAGUUAUAAAAAAUUUGCAGGGAAAGCUUUUCUCAGAUGCUGAAUCCAUACAAGCAAGGGCUGAGGCUGCAGUACUUCUCAAGCAGUUGGAUUUUCCGGUGGACAGCUUAAAGGCUAAACUAUUUGAAAAGUUAGAACAAUCUCUUGAGGACCUUCAGCUUAAGACGGAAGAAAUAACUAAUGUUUUGGAGGACUCUAGUGAUCCUAUAAAUCUUGCUACCACAAACGAUGCUUCUAUUCGUGAGUUUGUGGAGGCCAUCCGAGCUUAUCGAGUAAUAUUUCCUGACUCAGAAAAGCAACUAAUUAAACUCUCUCAAGACUUGAUUGCCAAGCACUUUGAAAUCACUGAGCAAUACAUAAAGGAGCAGAUUUCUGUUGCAAAGUUUCUGGGUGUUCUUCGAAUUAUAUGGAGAGAUGUGCUUCUCAUGGAUGAAGUGUUGAAUGAGGCUUUUCUCCCUGAUUAUUCUUUGGGGGCUGCCCAGGUGGUUGUCAAGCAGUAUGUUGCGAAUACAUUUUCUCACCUUCUGCGUGAUAUCUCAGAUGCCCUUACUGUCAACAUUCAUAUGAAAGUGGAAGAGCUUCCCUUGCAGAUUGCCCUGGAAACCAGCAAAAAUGCAGUGCUUAAAGGAAGCAUGGAUGUCUUAGUGGACUUCCGGCAUUUUCUUGAUGACAAUUUAGGGUUUCUUCUAAAAUUGAGAGACUCAAUUGUUGAUUGGGUUCAAGAAGGAUUUCAAGACUUCUUCAUGGCUCUGGAUAAACAAUUCCUCUUGCUUUCUGGAAGAAAUAAAUCAGUAAGUCAAGAACAAGGUUUGACGGAGGGAAUGAUGGUCGACAAAGUGCUUGCUGGUCUUGUCCUGGUGCUGGCUCAACUUUCUGUUUUUAUUGAACAAACUGCCAUCCCAAAGAUUACUGAGGAAAUAGCUACUUCUUUCUCUGGUGGUGGUGUUCGAAGCUUUGAAAAUGGACCUGCAUUUGUUCCUGGUGAAAUUUGUCGAAUCUUUCGAUCAGCUGGUGAAAAGUUUCUACACCAUUAUAUAACUAUGAGAACUCAGAGAGUAUCAGUUCUCCUUAAGAAGAGGUUUAAAGCUCCAAACUGGGUCAAGCACAAGGAGCCAAGAGAAGUUCAUAUGUUUGUUGAUUUAUUUCUUCAAGAGUUGGAAGCAAUAGGUGCUGAGGUGAAGCAGCUUUUGCCUGAAGGAGGUCUUCGCAAGCAUCGUCGUUCUGAAAGCAAUGGCAGCACCACAUCCUCUCGCAGCAAUCCAUUACGAGAUGAUAGAAUGACUCGGACAAAUACCCAAAGGGCCAGGAGCCAGCUUCUGGAAACCCACCUAGCAAAAUUGUUCAAGCAAAAAGUUGAGAUUUUUACAAAAACUGAAUUUACACAGGAAUCUGUGGUAACAACUAUAGUAAAACUUUGCCUUAAAAGUUUGCAAGAAUUUGUCAGACUUCAGACUUUCAACCGGAGCGGGUUUCAGCAAAAUCAGUUGGACAUUCAGUUUCUAAGGUCUCCUCUAAAGGAAACCGUUGAAGAUGAAGCAGCCAUCGACUUUUUGCUUGAUGAGGUAAUAAAGCAAGAGCCAGAUUCAAGAUCUUUUGGCCUUCUCCUGGAAGUACAUCAAAGAUUCUAUUUUUCCCUCAUUUAUAUGAAAAUAGUGAGGGAAGGGGAUUUAGGAUUGACUUCCCUUUCUUUUAUGCACUCAUUUCUUGGGAGGCAAGAGUUUAAGAUUUUCAUGGCUAGUUUUGACAUCUUUUGGCAAGCAAUGAUGGACAUGUGUUUGCUUAUGGAGCAGGUGAUUGUUGGUACGUCAGAACGUUGUCUUGACCCAAUUCCUCUGGAGCCUCCCAUCUUGGACAAACUAAUACAAGCAAAGUUGGCCAAAAAGAGGGAACAGAAUGCAAUUACUUCAUAAUUAGGGUGGGCCAAGUCAGAGAUUACAUUGUUUUUGUCAUCAAAAAGUGUUAACUGAAUAUCUGACUGAAAUGAUCGAAGAAGCUUUCACUAAUAUCCUUGGGGCAUAUGUUGCUUGUUUCCAGUAUAUGUACGUGUGAAUCGGCAAUGGCUGAAGGUUCCAUCCCCUAUAGCACUUGUUAGGAUCGUCAAGCAUUAUACACUUUUGAAAGGCAGCAACUUUAUUUAUUGGACGAACAGGUUUUUUUCUUUUUUUUGGGGUGGGUGGGGCUCUGGUAAUUUGAUGUUCCGGGGGUUAGUGCGAGACUGGAAUUUUUGUUUUUCUCUAUCGUGUGAAUUUCAUUGCCAUUUUGGCCCCUUUUUUAUUUCACAUUUUCAUUUUUUCA